AGAGUUUGAUCCUGGCUCAGAAUCAACGCUGGCGGCGUGCCUCAGACAUGCAAGUCGAACGAUUAAGACUCCCUUCGGGGAGUGUAUAAAGUGGCGUACGGGUGAGUAACACGUAAGUAAUCUACCUUCGAGUGGGGAAUAACAGUCGGAAACGGCUGCUAAUACCGCAUAAUGCAGCGGCAUCGAAAGAUGACAGUUGUUAAAGGAGCAAUUCGCUUGAAGAGGAGCUUGCGGCAGAUUAGCUAGUUGGUAAGGUAAUGGCUUACCAAGGCUACGAUCUGUAUCCGGUCUAAGAGGACGGUCGGACACACUGACACUGAAUAACGGGUCAGACUCCUACGGGAGGCAGCAGUCGGGAAUUUUGGGCAAUGGGCGAAAGCCUGACCCAGCAACGCCGCGUGAAGGAUGAAGUUUUUCGGAAUGUAAACUUCGAAAGAAUGGGAAGAAUAAAUGACGGUGCCAUUUAUAAGGUCCGGCUAACUACGUGCCAGCCGCCGCGGUAAUAC
rnacentral:rRNA from 1 species